rnacentral:rRNA from 1 species
UAACGCGUGGGUAACCUGCCUCAUACAGGGGGAGUAACAGUUAGAAAUGACUGCUAAUACCGCAUAAGCGCACAGUGCUGCAUGGCACAGUGUGAAAAACUCCGGUGGUACAAGAUGGACCCGCGUCUGAUUAGCUGGUUGGUGAGGUAACGGCCCACCAAGGCGACGAUCAGUAGCCGGCUUGAGAGAGUGAACGGCCACAUUGGGACUGAGACACGGCCCAAACUCCUACGGGAGGCAGCAUG